AACAUUUUAGGCCUAUGUCUGGGUUCCCUCCUCUAUAGCUUACGAAUUCUGACCUGUCCCCUGUAUCUAUUGUGGCGUGGCCAUUCUCCAUCUUGUCUUCCUGAGUGAUGGAUUAUAUAUCUAACUCCUGGGAGUGUAGACUCUAGAGCCAGUUCUUACAGGAACUGGCCUCUUAGUGUUCUCUCAUCUGUCUUCACACAUCCCCUAGCUCUGCCCUGCCCUUGUACCUCAGUGGCAGUUGUGGACUUUUCAGGGAAUGAAUGGGAAAUUUAGUUCAGGACUGAUGGGACCCCCCUCAGGUUUAGUCCUAGGAGCAAGGCCAUUCUCUGGUCUCUGCUCUUCCCCUCACAACCUCCUCACAGGGCAGUUACUGCUUGUACUCCAGGAGAGCUCACCCUGCCUUCCAGAACACCCUCCCACCACUCUACUAUAGCACUUAGCGUGUCUGCCUGUGUUCAGCCUUCUCACCCCAUGCUUAUCUGGACAUUGAAGCUUGGAAAACCAGUGGUGACUUCAACAUGACUUUGAUUCAUCUACUCAUCCACCUAGCUAUCCAUCUAGUCAUCUGUCAACCCAUCCAUCCAUCCAUCCAUCUAUCCAUCCAUCCAUCCAUCCAUCCAUCCAUCCAUCCAUCCAACCAUCCAUCCAUGCAUUGGGCGUCCAUCACUUGACCUGGUGCUUUGGGCCUCCCCUCUCCUGAAAGCCAACCCCUUCACCUUGGGCAAGCUGUAUGACACCAUGGGCUGUGGUCAUGAAGCAAGGUCCCCUUUCGUAGCCUCCACCUCCUAGGUCAUGGCUCUGAGCACGUCCCAGCUGGACCCCAUCACCACAGCUUUUCCUCCAUGAGGCUUCUCACACCCCUCUAUUGUGAUCCAGGAGGGUCAGGUUCCCAGAGUACCCUGGGGCCAACCCCUCUCACCAUAGCAGAGCUGCCUCCCCAGGCUUCACCCUGCCUGGUGCAUGGUCCCUGUCAUGAGCUUUGCCUUCAGCCUUGCAGCUUCCUCAACCAGAUGGUAGUGGCUGUAACUCACGUGCUCAUUCCUUCACACCUUCAUCCAUUCUCUUACAGUCAGCAAGCAUCUUAAAAAAAUAGCUAGUGCUAUACUAGAGCCGGCUCACAAGGGCUCAUUGCACCACUGCCCUUUGAAAGAAGAGAUGGGGACAUUUGUAAAGAAGCUGUGUUUGUGUGGCCAAUAAGAUGAGCUUUUUGAUUUCAAUUCAAACUUCAGGCCUGAGUUAUAGUGCAAGCUUGAUUACUCUCUCCGAUUUUGUUCCUCGCAGAACUAGGUUGAUUAGUAAUCAGCAAACUGUGUUCCCUGGGUGCUCAGAAAUCAUAGCCCAAAUCCUUAAGAGGCCCAAAUGGGGAGUGGACUAAGCAUUAGGCAGCUGGCUCUGGCUGCGAGCAGGCUUUCAAGGCUGCGAGACACCCUGUUCUUCGACAAGCAUGAUCUGAGAGUCAUUCUGGCCACUUUGGAGCUCAGCUAAUGCCUGGCUCCCUUUUAGAGAAAAUUGCAGGAGACGGUUGCUUGUACAGGUGACAAGGAUCACGUCCCAGUGUCCUGUCUGAAUAAUCCAUUCGCAGACCCAGGCAAGCAAGGCACUUGGCACUUUGCAAACCCCGAGCUCAACCCUAUGCAUUUGAUGGGGUCCCAGGCUAGUUAGGCUUCCCUCUAGUUUUCUACUGUGAAAGGGAAGAGGCCCAGGUCCCUUCUGAAUUCUCUUCCCACUGGAAACAGUAGGGGUUGGCAAGGCCAGGACCUGGAGCUGGACAAAUUGUGUACUAGAUCUUAUCUAAGAGCUUGAGUGUAUGUUUUGUGAUGGGGACCGUGAUGCCCACCUCUCAGGGCUGUUGUGAGGAUUGGUGUAACUGGACACUUCUGACUGUGACUGGAGAAGGCAGUGUAUGUGUCCCUGGGGGGUGUGCCAGAGCAUUGGGAACCCUAGGUCUGGUGUGGGAGGUGGCCUUUCUUGGGUAUGAUGGGGAAUAGUUUGCAUAUGUUAAAUUUAUGUAUUUUCAUAUAAAGUAGGGACUCUUGGUAGUACCUCUGUCUUCUGCCCCCCUCCCUUGGACACAUUCACACCUACCUCUAGGAGAGAUUGGGGAUACCUUUAGCUCUCUGACCGAGGACCAAGCCUCUGACUCAGACCUGUAUAUGGCACCAAGUUACAACCCUUUCCAAAAGGCUCUUCCCAGGGGAGCACUUGGCAUUUUCUGGCAGACCCCAUUAUCCCUUUCCCAAUGCCCUCUCUCUGACUUUGAGCAUCAGGCCAGACUGCCUGAGAUCUGGUGCCUGCCACAGUGCCUGGCCAGGGGUGAGGCUUUGGUUACCUUCUGUUGUAUUUGUGUGGAUAGAUGGGCAGCUAACAAUUGUAACAGGUCCUAGGGUCAGAUGUGGAUGGUCUCAUACAGUGGCUUCUAAUGGAGAAUGUAUCUGAACCCAUAUCAAAUCACCUCACUGUAUUUUUCUCUUCCCUAACCUGUUAACUAGCCAUUGUUGUAGGGGGCUUUUGCACAGUGCCUCACUGUCUCACAUGCUAAGUAAAGGAACUCCUGCUUUCUGCCGAG
rnacentral:lncRNA from 1 species